AUGAUGGGGGUACUGACAUUAACCUGCUGUAUUUACUGUAUUACACAUUUUUGUCAGUUUUUCAUUUCAAGUACUGGAUGGCAUGCUGUCCUAACACUAACUAGUCAGAGCUCAGGUACCACCCAAAAUGCUGCCAUUACAAGUCAGAAAAAGAGAAAUAUAUAUAGUCAGGUUAUCAUCGACUCAGACUUGACAGUGAUGAUUGAUCAUGAAACCGAUGAUUGCAGUGACUUUAAAAAAUGAUGAUUGAUCAUGAAACUAAUGAUUACAGUGACUUUAAAAAUUUUUUUAAUUAUUGCUGUCAUGUCUGAGUACUUCCAGUACUUGUGCACAUCCCUAUUAAACACAUAUACACGGUAUUGAGGUAUGAUGUAAUACUGCAUUGAUGUAUACUGUAAAUGCAAUAAACAUUUUAAUCAUACAUAUUGUCACGUCUUGUUACUUCUGGAUUUUAUUUCUUUUAUUUUUUUUAUUACUUUAUGAACAAUCCUAUUAAAGAAAAUGUAUAGUAUGAUAGAUGUAAGGAUAUUGCUUUAUGGCACCAAGAAAAACACUGGUUCUUUAAAGAACCUUUUUACAAAAUGGUUCUUCAAGGAAUCAAAAAUGAUUCCUCUGUGGCAUUGCUGCAAAACCCCUUUUUUGGUUCUUCCUGGUGCCUUUUUUUUAAAGAGUGUAUGUGGGCUUGCAUUCUUUUCAUUUGGUUAGCUGCUCUAACAUAAUGUUACUGUUCUCUGAAUCACUAAACUAAGAUUCUUGUGCAUAGAAGCAAUAACAUAACUUAGUAUAAAUCACCUAACACAUCAUAAUCACUCUUUCUGCAUUGCAAAUAACAUUUUCUUU
ensembl:lncRNA